rnacentral:rRNA from 1 species
UACGUAGGGGGCAAGCGUUGUCCGGAAUUAUUGGGCGUAAAGCGCGCGCAGGCGGUCCUUUAAGUCUGCUGUGAAAGGUCACGGCUUAACCGUGGAAAUGCAUUGGAAACUGGGGGACUUAAGUGCAGGAGAGGAGAGUGGAAUUCCUGGUGUAGCGGUGAAAUGCGUAGAGACCAGGAGGAACGCCAAUGGCGAAGGCAGCUCUCUGGCCUGUAACUGACGCUGAGGCGCGAAAGCGUGGGGAGCAAACAGG